rnacentral:rRNA from 1 species
UUCCGGUUGAUCCUGCCGGACCUGACUGCUAUCGGAUUGAUACUAAGCCAUGCGAGUCUUUGCAGUAAUGCAAGGCAUACGGCUCAGUAACACGUAGUCAACUUACCCUAUGGACGAGGAUAAUCUCGGGAAACUGAGCAUAAUACUCGAUAGAUCAUAAUGCCUGGAAUGGUUUAUGGUUGAAAUGAUUCGUCGCCAUAGGAUAGGACCGCGGCCUAUCAGCUUGUUGGUGAGGUAAUGGCCCACCAAGGCGAUUACAGGUACGGGCUCUGAGAGGAGAAGCCCGGAGAUGGGUACUGAGACAAGGACCCAGGCCCUAUGGGGCGCAGCAGGCGAGAAAACUUUGCAAUGUGCGAAAGCACGACAAGGUUAAUCCGAGUGAUUUCUGCUAAAGAAAUCUUUUGCAAGUCAUAAAACCACUAGUGAAUAAGGGGUGGGCAAGUUCUGGUGUCAGCCGCCGCGGUAAAACCAGCACCUCAAGUGGUCAGGAGGAUUAUUGGGCCUAAAGCAUCCGUAGCCGGCUCUGUAAGUUUUCGGUUAAAUCCAUGUGCUCAACGCAUGGGCUGUCGAAAAUACUGCGUAGCUAGGGAGUGGGAGAGGUAGACGGUACUCGGUAGGAAGGGGUAAAAUCCUUUGAUCUAUCGAUGACCACCUGUGGCGAAGGCGGUCUACCAGAACACGUUCGACGGUGAGGGAUGAAAGCUGGGGGAGCAAACCGGAUUAGAUACCCGGGUAGUCCCAGCUGUAAACGAUGCAGACUCGAUGAUGCAUUGGUCAUAUAGCCAGUGCAGUGUCGCAGGAAGCCGUUAAGUCUGCCGCCUGGAAGUACGUACGCAAGUAUGAAACUUAAAGGAAUUGGCGGGGGAGCACCACACGGGGUGAAGCCUGCGGUUCAAUUGGAGUCAACGCCAGA